ACGAACGCUGGCGGCGUGCCUAACACAUGCAAGUCGAGCGAAUGAAGUUCCUUCGGGACUGGAUUUAGCGGCGGACGGGUGAGUAACACGUGGGCAACCUGCCUCAUAGAGGGGAAUAGCCUUCCGAAAGGGAGAUUAAUACCGCAUAAGAUUGUAGUAUCGCAUGAUACAGCAAUUAAAGGAGCAAUCCGCUAUGAGAUGGGCCCGCGGCGCAUUAGCUAGUUGGUGAGGUAACGGCCCACCAAGGCGACGAUGCGUAGCCGACCUGAGAGGGUGAUCGGCCACAUUGGGACUGAGACACGGCCCAGACUCCUACGGGAGGCAGCAGUGGGGAAUAUUGCACAAUGGGGGAAACCCUGAUGCAGCAACGCCGCGUGAGUGAUGACGGCCUUCGGGUUGUAAAGCUCUGUCUUCAGGGACGAUAAUGACGGUACCUGAGGAGGAAGCCACGGCUAACUACGUG
rnacentral:rRNA from 1 species